rnacentral:lncRNA from 12 species
AUGGAAGGAUUGGUGGCAUCAUCAGAACUCUAUUUCCUACUAAAAGAACGAAGUGCUUGCCCGGAAAGCUGGGAUAAAGUAAUCUCGCUAGAAUAUGCUGCAGUUGGGUAUUUGAUUGUGGCAAAUCCAUUCCUGCCAAGCCCCGGGAGCUUCCGUUGUACCACUGCCUUGACUUUCUUCUCUCUAACUGCUCCUGUGCUCUGGAAACGCAUGGUCUUCUUUUACCUUCACCAGCCUGUACAAUUGGAGGGCCCUCCUGCUCUUUUCAUCAUCUUGCGACACAAUCUAUGGAUAUGCCCACGCACGUCUUUCCUUCUUCCCCAACACGCCUACUUCUACAUUUAUUUAGAGCUUCACUCUCCUUUGCAGAUCUGUACCGUCAACAAGGAAUCUCUACCUGGACUGGACACCCUACAGCUGUCUGACAUUCAUUAUGUCCUCAAUCUAGCAUUCCUUCACUGCCAGCCCCUACAGCAUACACGACCCCCUCCCCCCCUUAUAUUCCCUGCUUGGGUCACACUAAGGGAAGGAGACACUAAUUUGGGACUUCUCAUCCCCUCUGGCCUAAACCACAGACUCGCAAGUCACUUUGGUGCCUAUCACAUUCAUCACACUCCAAAUCCAGUCAGUCACCAAAUUCUCUUAAUUAGACCUAAACGUGUCCACAUGUACAUAUUUGUGGAUUUUAUACUGGAUGUCCCUGUUCUUUCUCUUACGCCCAUGCACACAGAGCACUCAUAUUUCUCCGUUCUGCUCUCCAGGCCAGCCAGGUCUUCCACAUCUUUCUCUAGUGCAUCCUCCAUACCAUUAAUAAGACAGCCAUUUCUAGUAGGCAAGGAUGACUGUGCUAUUCUCUGGUUUACAAUCCUUCAGUGGUUGUGGGUUGCCAAUAAAGAUCAAGUGCAUGUGGAUUUUUACAGCUCAGCCUAUCUGUCACAAACUGGCCUUAUAAAAGUACUUCACUCGUUUGCUGUGUACCUGUCCACAUGUUUUUUGUCACACACAUACUUAGUGAUCGAUCAUUAA